AGAACAGGCUCAGAUGUGUCCAGCUCUGUGUUUGUGAAGAGUGACUGUUCAAGAAAUGAACCACCGAAAUUCAGUGAGGAAACACCAUCUACCAAAAGUGUAAGAUCAGGCUUAGAUGUGUCCAGCUCUGAGUCUGUGAAGAGUGACUGUUCAAGAAAUGAACCACCGAAAUUCAGUGAGGCAACAUCUACUAAAAGUGAAAGAUCAGGUUCACAUUUUUCCAGCUCUGUGUCUGUGAAGAGUGACCGGUCACAUAAUCCUCCACCAAACUUAAGUGAGGAAACAUCAUCAUCUACC